rnacentral:lncRNA from 1 species
CUGGUGUAGUCCACUACGGUUCCUGGUCCGUCGGACGCUAGGACCCUACGGACCCUCUUGGCUUUGCUUCCCUUUAUACAGCUGCUCUGAUUGGCUGCCUCUGUUCCUCCGGCCACGCUCACAACCCCAGCGGUCCUCCUCCCUUCUUCUCUGUUGGUCUUGAUCUUCCUCUGAGUUUCUCCUCCUUUCAUCCCACUCUCCAUCAGAGGCCUUACGGAAGCUCUCUCGUCCUCUCUUUCCGUCUCCUUCUCUACGUCACGUUUGAGGUUGCAGGUUUUUACGGUGUCGGUGAGCUCCACACUGGGAGAUUUGAUUUGGGGCACGUCCAUCUCUUUAUCAGACAUACUCCUCUCUUCCUUUCUUGUUUUCCUCUCUUUCCCCUCUUCCUCCUCCUCCUCCUCCUUCCUCCUCCUCUUCUCAGAUUUGGUGUCUGGAGCUUUGCCAGAGGCUCUCUCCUGCUCUCUACCCAGCCUGUUGUCAGCCUCUCUCCUGGGCUUGGCCUCUCUCCCUGAGCCCCUGUCCUGCCGAACCCCUGUAUCUCUCUUCCCUCUCUGCUCCUCCUUGGCUGGUCUGGAAUGGUCCAGGUCUGUUCUGACAGGUUUAAACUGGUUUGGGUCGGUUCUAACUGGUUUAAACUGGUCUGGGUCGGUUCUAACUGUGUUGAACUGGUUUAGGUCGGUUCUGAACGGUUUAAACUGGUCUGGGUCGGUUCUAACUGGUUUAAACUGGUUUAGGUCAGUUCUAACUGUGUUGAACUGGUCUGGGUCGGUUCUGACAGGUUUAAACUGGUUUGGGUCAGUUCUAACCGGUUUGAAUGAGUCUGGGUGGGGUUUAGGAGGAGGUCGUUUGGGAGCUGAUGCUAAAGGUGCAGGGGAUAUGAGUUCUACCUCUCUUUGGGGGGAAGUGGAAGUGUCUGGU